UACAGAGGGUGCGAGCGUUAAUCGGAAUUACUGGGCGUAAAGCGUGCGUAGACGGUUUUGUAAGUCGGAUGUGAAAUCCCCGGGCUCAACCUGGGAAUUGCAUUCGAGACUGCAAGGCUUGGGUGCGGAAGAGGGAAGCGGAAUUUCCGGUGUAGCGGUGAAAAGCGUAGAUAUCGGAAGGAACACCAGUGGCGAAAGCGGCUUCCUGGUCCGACACCGACGUUCAGGCACGAAAGCGUGGGGAGCAAACAGG
rnacentral:rRNA from 1 species